rnacentral:lncRNA from 1 species
UGCAUGUUACAUAAUAAUGAUUAUCAUCCCUGGUUACUUAUUAUUAUGUUGAUAAUAAUAAAAUAUAACUGGUAUGGUUAUUGAUUGAUAAUCAUGAGAUGAUUAUGUAUAUGUUGAUAUAAUUCAAUAAUCAUAAAUACUUGUUGGAGAACAAAGUAUUGGAUGGACCCGCAUUGAGAUCACUACAUGGGUCAUUGUCAUAAGUG